rfam:Schistosoma rodhaini strain Burundi genome assembly, scaffold: SROB_scaffold0004135
AUCCAGUUGACGAAUCCUAAACAGGAUGAAACACGCGUACUGAAU